rnacentral:rRNA from 1 species
GUAAAUUUCGUCCAAGGCUAAAUGCGGGCGAGAGAUCGAUAGCGAACAAGUACCGUGAGGGAAAGAUGAAAAUGACUUUGAAAAGAGAGUUAAAGAGUGCUUGAAAUUUCCGAGAGGGAAGCAUAUGGAGGCUGUCGAUGCGUCUUAGUCAGAUGUGGAACGGCUCAGGCUGGUUCGCCGCUCGACUUGAGGUGAAAACCAACACAGGCUGCUGCAUCGUCACAAGCGCGGGUGGAUUCCCACCUAUCAGUUUGCCGCUGUGGUGGUCGAGGAACGAAGCGUGCACCCUUGAGGUGCACGCUUCGUGCACCUGCACGCUCGUGGGCGAGAUCCCCUCUCUUGGGGGGGUGCAUCAUCGACCGACCUUGACCUUAUGCGAAGGGUUCGAGUGCGAGCACACCUGUUGGGACCCGAAAGAUGGUGAACUAUGCCUGAGCAGGGAAAAGCCAGAGGAAACUCUAGUGGAGGCUCGUAUUGAUAAUGACGUGUAAAUUAUUCGUCUGACUUGGGUAUAGGGGCGAAAGACUAAUUGAAGCAUCAGUAGCUGGUUUGCUCUGAAGUUUCCCUCAGGAUAGCUAGAGCUCACACGCGAGUUUUAUCGGGUAAAUCAAAUGAUUAGAGGCAUCGGGGGCGUAACGCCCUCGACCUAUUCUCAAACAUUAAAUAGGUAAGAGGGUGCGGUUGCUCCAUUGGGCCACACCGUGGAAUCGAGAGCUCCAAGUGGGCCAUUUUUGGUAAGCAGAACUGGUGAUGCAAGAUGAACCGAAAGUCGAGUUACGGUGUCGAAUUGCACGCUAACCUAGAUCCCACAAAGGGUGUUGGUUGAUUGAGACAGCAGGACCGUGGUCAUGGAAGUCGAAAUCUGCUAAAGAGUGUGUAACAACUCACAUGCCGAAUCAACUAGCCCCGAAAAUGGAUGGCGCUGAAGCGCGCAACCUAUACUCGACCAUCGGAGCAAUUGCCUGGCUCUGAUGAGUAGGAGGACAGGGGGGUCAUUGAGAAACCUCGGGCAUGAGCUUGGGUGGAUCGGCCCCCGGUGCAAAUCUUGGUGGUAGUAGCAAAUAUUCAAAUGAGAACCUUGAAGAUUGAAGGGGGGAAAGGUUCCAUGUGAACAACACUUGGACAUGGGUUAGUCGAUCCUAAGAGAUGGGGAAGCCUUGUAUCAAGGGUGCACUCUGCAUGAGCAUUGAAAUGGAAUUGGGUUAAUAUUCCUGAACUGGGACAUGGCGGUGGGUGGAAACGUUAGGAAAUCCAGAGACGUCAUUGGGGGGCCCGGGAAGAGUUAUCUUUUCUUUUUAACAGCUUUCCCACCCUGGAAUCGGUUCACCCGGAGAUAGGGUCCAGCAGCUGGAAGAGCACUGCACGUCUUACAGUGUCUGGUGCACCCUCGAUGACCCUUGAAAAUCUAGAGGACCGAGUACCGUUCAUGCCCAGUCGUACUCAUAACCGCAUUAGGUCUCCAAGGUGAACAGCCUCUGGUCAAUAGAACAAUGUGGGUAAGGGAAGUUGGAAAAACGGAUCCGUAACUUCGGGAAAAGGAUUGGCUUUGAGGGCUGGGCCUAGGGGUCUACGCCCUCAACUUGUGGGUUUUCAGCAGUCUGCCCGAGCUAAUCUCGCGGCGAGGGCGGGCAGUCGCGUGUCGAUUGGGCUAUGGGCGUAGAAUACCCCCUGUCGGGGGAUUUUCCCUAGGCGUCGAACAGUCGACUCAGAACUGGUACGGACAAGGGGAAUCCAACUAUUUAAUUAAAAUAAAGCAUUUCGAUGGUCCCUGCGGAUGCUGAUGCAAUGUGAUUUCUGCCCAGUGCUCUGAAUGUCAAAGUGAAGAAAUUCAACCAAGCGCGGGUAAACGGCAAGAGUAACUAUGACUCUCUUGAGGUAGCCAAAUGCCUCGUCAUCUAUUUAGUGACGCACAUGAAUGGAUUAAUGAGAUUCCCACUGUCCCUAUCUACUAUCUAGUGAAACCACAACCAGGGGAACAGGCUUGGCAGAAUCAGCAGGGAAAGAAGACCCUGUUGAGCUUGACUCUAGUUCGACUUUGUGAAAUUACUUGAGAGGUGUAGAAUAAGUGGGAGUCGUUUUCAGUGCAAGUGAAAUACCAUUACUUUUAACGUUAUUUUACUUAUUCCGUGGGGUGGAGAUGAGGAACUGCCCCUGUUUUUGGCCUUAAGGCACGUUUCGGCGGGUCGAUCUGGGUGGAAGACAUUUUCAAGUGGGGAGUUUGGCUGGGGUGGCACAUCUGUUAAAAGAUAAUGCAGGUGUCCUAAGAUGAGCUCAACGAGAACAGAAACCUCGUGUGGAACAAAAGGGUAAAAGCUCAUUUGAUUUUGAUUUUCAAUACGAAUACAAACCAUGAAAGCGUGGCCUAUCGAUCCUUUAGAUUUUCGGAAUUUGAAGCUAUAGGUGUCAGAAAAGUUACCACAGGGAUAACUGGCUUGUGGCAGCCAAGUGUUCAUAGCGACGUUGCUUUUUGAUCCUUUGAUGUCGGCUCUUCCUAUCAUUGUGAAGCAGAAUUCACCAAGUGUUGGAUUGUUCACCCACCAAUAGGGAACGUGAGCUGGGUUUAGACCAUCGUGAGACAGGUUAGUUUUACCCUACUGAUGAACUGCACCACAAUAAUAAUUCAACUUAGUAUGAGAGGAACCAUUGAUUCACAUAAUUGGUCAUCACGCUUGGUUGAAAAGCCAGUGGUGCGAAGCUACCGUGUGUCAGAUUAUGACUGAACGCCUCUAAGUUAGAAUCCACGCUAGAAGCGGUGCAUGUCACUCUUCGACUAUAUCUCGACCUGCAGUAGGGGCGUCGCUUUGUCACCCCUAGGGGCCCGUGCCAUUUGCAAACUGCGACGUGAAGCAUCUCGGUCAGGGCAGCUUUGAAGUUCAAUUCCAAACGAUCGUUGAGAAGAAUCCUUUGCAGACGACUUAAAUACAUGACGGGGUAUUGUAAGUGGCAGAGUGGCCUUGCUGCCAUGAUCCACUGAGAUUCAGC